rnacentral:rRNA from 1 species
UACGUAGGUGGCUAGCGUUGUUCGGAAUUACUGGGCGUAAAGAGCGCGCAGGCGGUCGUUCAAGUCGCGUGUGAAAGCCCCCGGCUCAACUGGGGAGGGUCACGCGAUACUGAUCGACUCGAAGGCAGGAGAGGGUAGUGGAAUUCCCGGUGUAGUGGUGAAAUGCGUAGAUAUCGGGAGGAACACCAGUGGCGAAGGCGACUACCUGGCCUGUUCUUGACGCUGAGGCGCGAAAGCUAGGGGAGCAACGGG